rnacentral:rRNA from 1 species
CGUGUAGGUGGGCCUCUAAGUCUGGGGUGAAAUCCCGCAGCUUAACUGCGGAAUUGCUUCCGAUACUGGAGGUCUUGAGUGCGGCAGAGGGAGAUGGAAUUCAUGGUGUAGCGGUGAAAUGUGUAGAUAUCAUGAAGAACACCGGUAGCGAAGGCGGUCUCCUGGUCCGUUACUGACACUGAGGCGCGAAAGCGUGGGGAGCAAACAGGAUUAGAUACCCUGGUAGUCCACGCCUUAAACGAUGGGUACUCGGUGCUGGGUCGCAAGGUUCAGUGCCAAAGCUAACGCAUUAAGUACCCCACCUGGGGAGUACGAUCGCAAGGUUGAA